rnacentral:rRNA from 1 species
UGGGGAAUAUUGGACAAUGGAGGAAACUCUGAUCCAGCAAUUCUGUGUGUGUGAAGAAGGUUUUAGGACUGUAAAACACUUUUAGUAGGGAAGAAAAAAAUGACGGUACCUACAGAAGAAGCAACGGCUAAAUACGUGCCAGCAGCCGCGGUAAUACGUAUGUUGCGAGCGUUAUCCGGAAUUAUUGGGCUUAAAGGGCAUCUAGGCGGUAAGACUAGUUGAAGGUGAAAACCUGUGGCUCAACCAUAGGCUUGCCUACAAAACUGUUGAACUAGAGUACUGGAAAGGUGGGUGGAACUACACGAGUAGAGGUGAAAUUCGUAGAUAUGUGUAGGAAUGCCGAUGAUGAAGAUAACUCACUGGACAGAAACUGACGCUGAAGUGCGAAAGCUAGGGGAGCAAACAGG